GCGCUCGCUUUGGCAGCAUAUAUAUUUAAAUUGGAACGAUACAGAAUAGAUUAGCAUGCCCCCCGCAGAAGGAUGACUCGCAAAUUCAUGAAGCGUUCUGUGUUUCU
ensembl:snRNA U6 U6 spliceosomal RNA